CACGUAGGGCGCAAGCGUUGUCCGGAAUUAUUGGGCGUAAAGAGCUCGUAGGUGGUUUGUUACGUCUGCUGUGAAAUCCUAGGGCUUAACCCUGGGCUUGCAGUGGAUACGGGCAGACUAGAGGUAGGUAGGGGAGAAUGGAAUUCCUGGUGUAGCGGUGAAAUGCGCAGAUAUCGGGAGGAACACCGGUGGCGAAGGCGACUACCUGGCCUGUUCUUGACGCUGAGGCGCGAAAGCUAGGGGAGCAAACGGGG
rnacentral:rRNA from 1 species